rnacentral:lncRNA from 1 species
CUUGUUUUUUGGGCUAUAAUUUUGGUGUAUAAAGUUUGUUAUUUGAAUUUUUUAUAAAGAAGUUAAGAUUGUUUGAAGUUAGGGUGUGAAUUGUUUACCAACUGUCACUCUUUUAAGCAUAUAGAAAGUUGUAGAAGGUUUUUUGGGAAAUGAAAGGUGUCGUUGGAAAGCUGGUUUAAAGGAAUACAAUUUUCGUGCAAGGGUUGUUAACUUUGAGUCUACAAUGAGAGAAUCAUGGCUAUUUAAAGUCUAGAUGUGAAAUUUGUACCUACUGUCACUCUUUCAAGCAUACAAAGAGUUGUAGAAAGGCAUUUAACAAUCGGAAGGAGGAGUUAGAAAGCUGACUUGAAGGGCUUCAAUUAUUGUAUAAGAUUUGAUAAAAUCAGAUCUGAAGUGAAGAAGAAAUGGUGGGUCGAAGUUAGAACUUACAAAUUAAGAUAGGAAGUGAACCAAAUUGUUGAUGGUUAUGUUUUGAGCCA